rnacentral:rRNA from 3 species
UAUACCGUGAAACUGCGAAUGGCUCAUUAAAUCAGUUAUCGUUUAUUUGAUAGUACCUUACUACUUGGAUAACCGUGGUAAUUCUAGAGCUAAUACAUGCUGAAAACCUCAACUUCGGGAGAGGUGUAUUUAUUAGAUAAAAAACCAACGCCCUUCGGGGCUUCUUGGUGAUUCAUGAUAACUUUACGGAUCGCAUGGCCUUGCGCCGGCGACGGUUCAUUCAAAUUUCUGCCCUAUCAACUUUCGAUGGUAAGGUAUUGGCUUACCAUGGUUUCAACGGGUAACGGGGAAUUAGGGUUCGAUUCCGGAGAGGGAGCCUGAGAAACGGCUACCACAUCCAAGGAAGGCAGCAGGCGCGCAAAUUACCCAAUCCCGACACGGGGAGGUAGUGACAAUAAAUACUGAUACAGGGCUCUUUUGGGUCUUGUAAUUGGAAUGAGUACAAUUUAAACCUCUUAACGAGGAACAAUUGGAGGGCAAGUCUGGUGCCAGCAGCCGCGGUAAUUCCAGCUCCAAUAGCGUAUAUUAAAGUUGUUGCAGUUAAAAAGCUCGUAGUUGAAACUUGGGUCUGGCUGGCAGGUCCGCCUCACCGCGUGUACUUGUCCGGCCGGGCCUUCCUUCUGGAGAACCUCAUGCCCUUCACUGGGCGUGUUGGGGACCAGGACUUUUACUUUGAAAAAAUUAGAGUGUUCAAAGCAGGCCUUUGCUCGAAUACGUUAGCAUGGAAUAAUAGAAUAGGACGUGCGGUCCUAUUUUGUUGGUUUCUAGGACCGCCGUAAUGAUUAAUAGGGACAGUCGGGGGCAUCAGUAUUCAAUUGUCAGAGGUGAAAUUCUUGGAUUUAUUGAAGACUAACUACUGCGAAAGCAUUUGCCAAGGAUGUUUUCAUUAAUCAGUGAACGAAAGUUAGGGGAUCGAAGACGAUCAGAUACCGUCGUAGUCUUAACCGUAAACUAUGCCGACUAGGGAUCGGGCGAUGUUCUUUUUCUGACUCGCUCGGCACCUUACGAGAAAUCAAAGUU